rnacentral:lncRNA from 1 species
GCUUUCAAUACAUGUUUAUUGCAAAACCACAAGCACAGUAACCAUAAUGUCAACAUAACCGUAUUUCCUAACGGAACAGGAGAUCGCCAUGCCUAAGUGCGUGCGUUUUCCAAAGAAAUGGCGGCUUAUUUGGAAGCUCACACGCUGCAAGUGAUGACGAGAAGCCCUGUUGUGAACUAGGAGUUCUAAACCAUUAAACAUUUAAUUACCACUUUGGCAAAGCAAUGCACAUUACCAUUUCUACAAUGGAACAGCACAGAGAUUUUAAAUGCAUCUUUAUUUUUUAGAAUCUUCAGUAUUCACAAUGUGUAAAAUGAAGCAGCAUUUUAAGUAAAGCUCUAUGCCAAAACAGUUUCUUAAAAAGUCUGGAUUAAAAAGAAGGAAAACCACACAUGAAUAAUAUUUAUCAGUGCUCACAGUUGACACUAACUAUAGUUUUUUAAAAGAAUAAAAAUACUCAAGACUUCAACAUUUCCUUACAAAAGUAUACUUGGCCAUAAAAUAAAAAUCUAUAAAACCCCAAAUAUUACAAAAGUAAAAUGCAAAAAAAUUUUGUAUACAAAUGUAAUACAAUCUUUACAUGGUAAGGAUUAUUUAAAAACACACAGAACACUUCCUAAGUGUGGAUGUGCUUGGGAGCUGAACUCAUCACACACCUCUGCUCUGACCAUUGCACAGACCUAGCAGGUGGCAGAGCGGGUGCACGGCCCCUGGCAUCAAGUCUCAGUGUUGGCAGGUUUUAAGCUCCCCCCGUACCCAUUCAUACUUGCAUCAUCUCUUGUGCUGGAGAAGCUUGCUCAGGCAUAUGGGGUGUCACAGGAGCUGCGGCACCUGCCUUCCAGGAGCCUGUAUAUAACCUAUAUCCUCGUGUUACUGCUUUAAAAUCAGGCCCUGGAGCUGGGAGGACUCUCAAGAGACGACCCUGUCCUCUGGGCCAGUCCUGACCCACUCUGGCAGUGAGUCUACCGCAGCCUGCUGGAGCACUAUUUCACCCUGGCAGUCAGAGGGUUCCACUGCAGCCAUUUCUGCCAAAAACCUCUCCCAGGAUGGGCCCAGAUCCCGAACAGAAAAGGACUUUGUUCUUUCACUUCUUGAUGCCCUCUUCAAAGGAGUCAGAGGCAUCAAGUGUCACCUGGGACUGGAAAGAAGGGAAAGGGGAGGGGAUGAGUUGGAAUGAGACUCAAGGCCCAAGGCUGAUGGGAAGGGAUGGGGGUCUGUUGGGCAUGCUAGGACCCACCAGCGUGGAGAGUAGGGAUUCUUUGGGACAUGGGGCAAGGAUCCUGGAGCCAAAACCCAAGGGACAGCGGAGGUAUGGAGGAGAGGGAUGGCUUUACUGGGGAUACCUGUAUUACUUACUACAAUGAUUUCUCAGCAAUAACUCAUUGAUCAGGAAGAGUGAGUGCAAUGCGAAUUAGUGAAUUCAGGGAAGGACUAAGAACCACCACCUUCAACACACACACUGAACUCUACUGAGCAGGCCCUAUUCUUCCUAUGGCAGGUAAGAUGGGAUCGACUCCCUCUCAUGACUUCUUCCAGGCACUUUCUGAGUCACAGACCUAAACAGAAACAGGUAGUUAUGUGUGUAGGCCAAGGAAGUGAUUUUGUUUGGGACUUGUGGAUGCAGUGUAUUAGGAUGGAGGCGGGAUUUUCUUAAUGCUUAAUUUUCACAAGCCUCCAAAAUGACAUAUUUCUGGUGGGGAGGGAAGUAAAUUCGGAACUCGGGGCAUUUGUAGUAAAUGAAAUAAUUGGCAGGAACUAAAACCUGCCCUUUUUAGCAUUCUUUGGGUUUCUGCAAAGGCUCAGGGGGCUGGGACUUCACUAGCAAUACAUCAAGUGUGAUUAGGUUUACUCACACGUAUAAACUGAAGGGUUUCUGCAAAGGCUGGGGUACCAACAACAUUCCCAAUUUCCCAUAGGAGUAAUAACCAAUUCCUCAGCCAUGGAAUGAUGGUAGGGUUGGGAUUCCUCAUGCAAAAAUUAAUUCUGUGCCUCCAGACAGAUCCAGAUCUUACUCAUGAAAAGAAUAUCAGUGGGACAGAAUGUCUUUUCCUCAAAAUCAGUUAUGGUUUAUGAUUUGAGAACAAUAUAUGGGCUCCUGUUAUGCAUAAUUAUUUGGGAAAUUGUCACUAGCUCUUUGUAAUUGUUAGUUCAGGAGUGUGUUUUUUAAAAAAAAACCUUCUGACUGGGCAUGGUGGCUCAUGCCUGGAAUCCCGGUACUUUGGGAAGCCGGCAGGAGGAUCGCUUGAGGCCAGGAGUUCGAGAAUGGCCUGG